AUUGGAAACUGGGGAACUUGAGUGCAGAAGAGGAGAGUGGAAUUCCACGUGUAGCGGUGAAAUGCGUAGAGAUGUGGAGGAACACCAGUGGCGAAGGCGACUCUCUGGUCUGUAACUGACGCUGAGGAGCUAAAGUGUGGGGAGCGAACAGGAUUAGAUACCCUGGUAGUCCACGCCGUAAACUAUGAGUGCUAAGUGUUAGGGGGUUUCCGCCCCUUAGUGCUGCAGCUAACGCAUUAAGCACUCCGCCUGGGGAGUACGGUCGCAAGACUGAAACUCAAAGGAAUUGAC
rnacentral:rRNA from 1 species